GGGUGCAGCGCAUGUCCGAGGUGCACCGAAGUCCCCGGACCAAAAAAAAAAAUGGCACAAACCAAACUAUCCGACUUCCAGGCGCCGCAGGAAGAUCGACGGCAUAGAAUGCGGCACUAGGAAAUGUUUACAGAAUUCUAAGCUGAUCAGCUUCAGUAAAAUCUAAAAUGUUGUAAAGUGCUUCCUGUCACACGGAUCCAUAUUUAUAUAAAACCAAUUAGUUUGAUAUUCGUACGUGUUCUGCAAAUUAUCAGAUAGUUUUUAUUCACCUUUGAGUCACCUGAUGUUUAUUGUGAAAAACCUUGUGUAAUUUAUUGUUUGGCGGUCCUACAAAUUGUAGUUUAACACAAUAUAGAUGGUAGACCUGUUUUUAAUUGGUUUAGUGAAAAAUUUAUUUCGUUUAUACACUGAGGUGAAAUGUAAAUAUGAAACAAACUGUCUUUUACCUUUAAAAUUAAUUCUCAUCAAAACUGUAUUAAUCCGAUUGCGCAUUAGAGAACCUUAUUUCUUUUGUGAAAGGUUAUACAACUGCGCCGGUAAAAUUGUUUUUUUUUAAACGUUGUUUCAUAAUGAAAAGUAAUUGGAAUGGAGUUGUUAAGUUAAGCUUAUAACUAUUCUUUCGGGAAUAGGUUGAUACGAUUUAAUACAAAGGAUUUACUGUAGAGAUCUAAAUUAGUACUUCAACUUUUAAGAACGAUAUUUACUACAACCUAGACUUUUUGAAUGUAAAAAUAUGAUAUACAAACAUUCAGUAUGACUCUGAACUAAAAUGUUAAUAAUAUAAUAACGAAGUCAUGGGCAAGUUACAACUAAAUUUGUGUACAAGUGUUCAACGUCUAAUACUCUUCAACUUCGUUCCGACCAUCAAGUUCAUGACUUGUUCGUUGGCCUCUGGCAAAAAUACAAUUGCGAAUUGCAAACAAUUGGUUGGCGA
rnacentral:sRNA from 1 species